rnacentral:lncRNA from 10 species
CGGCCCCACCGUCUGGAGAGAGAGGUGUCCCGGCCCCACCGUCUGGGGAGAGCUGUUCCGGCCCCACCGUCUGCAGAGAGGUGUCCCGGCCCCACCGUCUGGAGAGAGCUGUCCCAGCCCCACCGUCUGGGGAGAGGUGUCCCGGCUCCCACCGUCUGGAGAGAGCUGUCCCGGCCCCCACCGUCUGGAGAGAGAGCUGUCCCGGCCCCACCGUCUGGAGAGAGGUGUCCCGGCCCCACCGUCUGGGGAAAGCUGUCCCGGCCCCACCGUCUGGAGAGAGAGCUGUCCCGGCCCCCACCAUCCGGAGAGAGAGGUGUCCCGGCCCCCACCAUCUGGAGAGAGAGCUGUCCCGGCCCCCACCGUCUGGAGAGAGGUGUCCCGGCCCCACCGUCUGGAGAGAGCUGUCCCGGCCCCACCGUCUGGAGAGAGGUGUCCCGGCCCCACCGUCUGGAGAGAGGUGUCCCGGCCCCACCGUCUGGAGAGAGCUGUCCCGGCCCCACCGUCUGGAGAGAGGUGUCCCGGCCCCCACCGUCUGGGGAGAGCUGUCCCGGCCCCACCAGGCUCCAGAUACUGAGCAGGGCCAAGGGCCACAUUCUUUUUUUUUUUUUUUUUUUUUUUGCACAGGAUCUUGCUUGGUUGCCUAGUCUGGAGUGCGGUGGCAUAAUCACAGGUCUGCAGCCUCGAC